UGCAGUCGAACGGCAGCACGGGGGCAACCCUGGUGGCGAGUGGCGAACGGGUGAGUAAUACAUCGGAACGUGUCCUGUAGUGGGGGAUAGCCCGGCGAAAGCCGGAUUAAUACCGCAUACGCUCUACGGAGGAAAGGGGGGGAUCUUAGGACCUCCCGCUACAGGGGCGGCCGAUGGCAGAUUAGCUAGUUGGUGGGGUAAAGGCCUACCAAGGCGACGAUCUGUAGCUGGUCUGAGAGGACGACCAGCCACACUGGGACUGAGACACGGCCCAGACUCCUACGGGAGGCAGCAGUGGGGAAUUUUGGACAAUGGGCGAAAGCCUGAUCCAGCAAUGCCGCGUGUGUGAAGAAGGCCUUCGGGUUGUAAAGCACUUUUGUCCGGAAAGAAAACGUCGUGGUUAAUACCCGUGGCGGAUGACGGUACCGGAAGAAUAAGCACCGGCUAACUACGUGCCAGCAGCCGCGGUAAUACGUAGGGUGCAAGCGUUAAUCGGAAUUACUGCGCGUAAAGCGUGCGCAGGCGGUUCGCUAAGACAGAUGUGAAAUCCCCGCGCUUAACCUGAGAACUGCAUUUGUGACUGGCGCGCUAGAGUAUGGCAGAGGGGGGUAGAAUUCCACGUGUAGCAGUGAAAUGCGUAGAGAUGUGGAGGAAUACCGAUGGCGAAGGCAGCCCCCUGGGCCAAUACUGACGCUCAUGCACGAAAGCGUGGAGAGCAAACAGGAUUAGAUACCCUGGUAGUCCACGCCCUAAACGAUGUCAACUAGUUGUUGGGUCUUCAUUGACUUAGUAACGUAGCUAACGCGUGAAGUUGACCGCCUGGGGAGUACGGUCGCAAGAUUAAAACUCAAAGGAAUUGACGGGGACCCGCACAAGCGGUGGAUGAUGUGGAUUAAUUCGAUGCAACGCGAAAAACCUUACCUACCCUUGACAUGUAUGGAAGUCUGCCGAGAGGUGGAUGUGCCCGAAAGGGAGCCAUAACACAGGUGCUGCAUGGCUGUCGUCAGCUCGUGUCGUGAGAUGUUGGGUUAAGUCCCGCAACGAGCGCAACCCUUGUCCCUAGUUGCUACGCAAGAGCACUCCAGGGAGACUGCCGGUGACAAACCGGAGGAAGG
rnacentral:rRNA from 1 species